AAGUCGUAACAAGGUUUCCGUAGGUGAACCUGCGGAAGGAUCAUUACACUCAGUAGUUUACUACUGUUAAAGAGGCUGUCAGUCUGUAUAGCUCAACCGCUGAUGAGCAGCGUGCCUCUUUUCUCCACCCUUGUCUUUUGCGUACCCAUGUUUCCUCGGCAGGCUUGCCUGUCGAUUGGACAAUUCUAUAACCUUUUUAAUAUUUAAUCAGCGUCUGAAAAAACUUAAUAAUUACAACUUUCAACAACGGAUCUCUUGGUUCUG
rnacentral:misc_RNA from 1 species